rnacentral:rRNA from 1 species
AUUGAACGCUGGCGGCAUGCCUUACACAUGCAAGUCGAACGGCAGCGGGGGAGAAGCUUGCUUUUCCUGCCGGCGAGUGGCGAACGGGUGAGUAAUACAUCGGAACGUGCCCUGUAGCGGGGGAUAACUAGUCGAAAGAUUAGCUAAUACCGCAUACGACCUGAGGGUGAAAGUGGGGGACCGCAAGGCCUCAUGCUAUAGGAGCGGCCGAUGUCUGAUUAGCUAGUUGGUGGGGUAAAGGCCUACCAAGGCGACGAUCAGUAGCUGGUCUGAGAGGACGAUCAGCCACACUGGGACUGAGACACGGCCCAGAGUCCUACGGGAGGCAGCAGUGGGGAAUUUUGGACAAUGGGCGAAAGCCUGAUCCAGCAAUGCCGCGUGUGUGAAGAAGGCCUCCGGGUUGUAAAGCACUUUUGUCCGGAAAGAAAUGGCUCUGGUUAAUACCUGGGGUCGAUGACGGUACCGGAAGAAUAAGGACCGGCUAACUACGUGCCAGCAGCCGCCGUAA